AGUGAGCUUCCACAUAGCUGCUGUGGUCAAAAAGGAGCCCAGAGUGACAGUUUUCCUUUACAGUCGCUGUUCUGUUUGCUGUAACCGAUCUGCAACAUUUCAGGAAAAGACAGUU
rnacentral:snoRNA from 1 species